CUACAGCAAGCAAUGUAUGUUUCUGUCUCAAAAGAGAGUAUGCAAAGUGUAAGAGCAAUAUAAUCCCUAAUAGACCAAGUAAUAAAAGGAAAUUAAAGCAGAAACUUAUAAGAAAAUUGGUGGGUGUUGUGCUUGCUGUGCAGGUUUGAUGAAUGUUACAGAGCAACAUAUUUUCAAGGAUGAUAACUUUCAAGGAUGAUAACUUUCUAUUUUACCGGAGUUCCAGAGAGACGUGGAGGGGAAAAUCUAAUAAAAUUAUCACACACGAAGAGUAGCAAGGAUAACAUAUAGGACUUACCCUGAGGGUCCUGAAUAUUGUCAAGGAUGAAAGAAGGGACAAAUGGAUUGUUGAAUCCUUCAUUAGUCCCUUUUGUCAUACUGGAGUUCCUCGAUUCAGCCUCAACCGCGAACAAAUGUUCACAAAACCCGAGUUUGCUGAAGCUGGAAGAAGCAUC
rnacentral:sRNA from 1 species